rnacentral:autocatalytically_spliced_intron from 1 species
CAGGUUUCCUAAACUCCACAAUUGGGCGCCGUGAUGGGAAACCGCACGGCGGAUCCACUCAAAUUCGGGGAAAGCUUCCGGCGCCGCGGCGCCCUGCCGAUCCCGAGCCAAGCCCGAGGUCCGGUCACGGCCCACGGGAAGGUGUAGAGACUAGACGGGUGGCACCUAAAGGCUUCGCUCGAAGCCCACGGUGAAGGGAUAGUCCAGACCACGAACGCG